GAUGAACGCUGGCGGCGUGCCUAAUACAUGCAAGUCGAGCGAACAGACAAGGAGCUUGCUCCUUUGACGUUAGCGGCGGACGGGUGAGUAACACGUGGGUAACCUACCUAUAAGACUGGGAUAACUUCGGGAAACCGGAGCUAAUACCGGAUAAUAUUUCGAACCGCAUGGUUCGAUAGUGAAAGAUGGUUUUGCUAUCACUUAUAGAUGGACCCGCGCCGUAUUAGCUAGUUGGUAAGGUAACGGCUUACCAAGGCGACGAUACGUAGCCGACCUGAGAGGGUGAUCGGCCACACUGGAACUGAGACACGGUCCAGACUCCUACGGGAGGCAGCAGUAGGGAAUCUUCCGCAAUGGGCGAAAGCCUGACGGAGCAACGUCGCGUGAGUGAUGAAGGUCUUCGGAUCGUAAAACUCUGUUAUUAGGGAAGAACAUACAUGUAAGUAACUAUGCACGUCUUGACGGUACCUAAUCAGAAAGCCACGGCUAACUACGUGCCAGCAGCCGCGGUAAUACGUAGGUGGCAAGCGUUAUCCGGAAUUAUUGGGCGUAAAGCGCGCGUAGGCGGUUUUUUAAGUCUGAUGUGAAAGCCCACGGCUCAACCGUGGAGGGUCAUUGGAAACUGGAAAACUUGAGUGCAGAAGAGGAAAGUGGAAUUCCAUGUGUAGCGGUGAAAUGCGCAGAGAUAUGGAGGAACACCAGUGGCGAAGGCGACUUUCUGGUCUGUAACUGACGCUGAUGUGCGAAAGCGUGGGGAUCAAACAGGAUUAGAUACCCUGGUAGUCCACGCCGUAAACGAUGAGUGCUAAGUGUUAGGGGGUUUCCGCCCCUUAGUGCUGCAGCUAACGCAUUAAGCACUCCGCCUGGGGAGUACGACCGCAAGGUUGAAACUCAAAGGAAUUGACGGGGACCCGCACAAGCGGUGGAGCAUGUGGUUUAAUUCGAAGCAACGCGAAGAACCUUACCAAAUCUUGACAUCCUUUGACAACUCUAGAGAUAGAGCCUUCCCCUUCGGGGGACAAAGUGACAGGUGGUGCAUGGUUGUCGUCAGCUCGUGUCGUGAGAUGUUGGGUUAAGUCCCGCAACGAGCGCAACCCUUAAGCUUAGUUGCCAUCAUUAAGUUGGGCACUCUAAGUUGACUGCCGGUGACAAACCGGAGGAAGGUGGGGAUGACGUCAAAUCAUCAUGCCCCUUAUGAUUUGGGCUACACACGUGCUACAAUGGACAAUACAAAGGGCAGCGAAACCGCGAGGUCAAGCAAAUCCCAUAAAGUUGUUCUCAGUUCGGAUUGUAGUCUGCAACUCGACUACAUGACGCUGGAAUCGCUAGUAAUCGUAGAUCAGCAUGCUACGGUGAAUACGUUCCCGGGUCU
rnacentral:rRNA from 1 species